GUGUCAGCAGCCGCGGUAAAACGUAGGAGGCGAGCGUUAUCCGGAUUUACUGGGUGUAAAGCGCGUGCAGGCGGAUCGGAAAGUUGGAUGUGAAAGCUCCCGGCUUAACUGGGAGAGGUCGUUCAAAACUACCGGUCUUGAGUACAGUAGAGGGAAGUGGAAUUCUGGGUGUAGUGGUGAAAUGCGUAGAUAUCCGGAGGAACACCAGUGGCGAAAGCGGCCUCCUGGCCCAUUUCUGACGCUCAGACACGAAAGCUAAGGUAGCAAACGGGAUUAGAGACCCCGGUAGUCUUAGCUGUAAACGAUGUGAACUUAGUGUCGGUGGGUUUAAAUCCAGCGGUACUGAAGCUAACGGGAUAAGUUCACCGCCUGGGGACUACGGCCGCAAGGUUAAAACUCAAAUGAAUUGACGG
rnacentral:rRNA from 1 species